UGAUCACAGCUCCAAGGAGAACCAGACCAGCAAUGACAGCCAUGAUGGGGACCGUGGACUGAGGAGGCUCUGGGAAGGGAAGGACAGGAAGGGAAGGCCUGAGCACCUGGACUCCUGUGUCCUGCGCUCUCCUGCUGCUGGCGGCCGCCCUGGCCCCGACCCUGACCCGCGCGGGCGCUUACACCAUCCAGGAGAUAUCUGGCUGUGAAAUGGGGUCAAACGGGCGCCUCCUCCGCGGGUACAGUCAGUAUGCCUACGACGGCCACAAUUACAUCGCCCUGAACGACGACCUGACGACGUGGACGGCGGCGGACACGGCAGCGCAGAUCUCCCAG